rnacentral:pre_miRNA from 2 species
CAACUCUCAUCCUACACCGUUGGAUUAAGAAAUGGACGUCCGAGAUUCAUCUACGUCACCAUGAGUUAAAAUUUAACUCGCAGAUUCACUCAUAAGUUAAAAUUUACUGGGAGUUAAAUUUUAACUCAUGGUGAUGUGGACGAAUCUCGGACGUCCAUUUCUCGAUCCAACAGUGUAGGAUGAAAGUUG